UGGGGAAUCUUGCGCAAUGGGCGAAAGCCUGACGCAGCGACGCCGCGUGGGGGAUGAAGGCCUUCGGGUUGUAAACCCCUUUCGACAGGGAAGAAGCGAAAGUGACGGUACCUGUAGAAGAAGUCCCGGCUAACUACGUGCCAGCAGCCGCGGUAAGACGUAGGGGACGAGCGUUGUCCGGAUUUAUUGGGCGUAAAGCGCGCGCAGGCGGCUUGGUAAGUCGGGUGUGAAAAUCCGAGGCUCAACCUCGGACGUGCACCUGAAACUGCCAGGCUAGAGGUAGGUAGGGGAGAUCGGAAUUCCUGGUGUAGCGGUGAAAUGCGCAGAUAUCAGGAGGAACACCGGUGGCGAAGGCGGAUCUCUGGGCCUUACCUGACGCUCAGGCGCGAAAGCUAGGGGAGCGAACAG
rnacentral:rRNA from 1 species